AGAAUGUAAAACAUUGAGGGGCUCAGCCUCCAGACCGCACCUCCAAGUCACGCCCAGACGGUUUAUUCAAAGAUUUCAUGUAAGAAAGUAUUAGAAUUGUCCAGUGAAGGUCUUAGCAAUAUGAUAUCAGUCUUUCUGACUCUUUGUCAUUCUUGUGACCACCUUGAGGAUAUCAUUAAAGUGGGUCAGCAGUUUUAUACAUCUCUGGAGUAUCAUCAGUUAUCUUCAACUUCUGAAACGAAUUUGAAAAUUAUAUGGAAAGAAUAUUAUUAUUGUUAAUGAUUUAUCACUCAAGAGGCAUCUCAAUUUAUUCAAUGGCAAUAUUGAGCAACAUAAGAAAAAAUAUCAAAAUAUUAGCUGAUGCUUAUUUUAAACAGUCUCAUUCCAUUCUUGUCACUGACGUACUGUACAAUACUUUAUCCACCAUAUUAGAAGGACUCCACCAGUUAUUAGUUAAUAGGUGUAUGCACGUACAGCAGUUGAUUGGGCUGUAUUUUGGAGACUUAAUUAAAGGAACAGGAACAUUAUUUCUAGAUAUUUUGAGAUUUAUUAUGAAUAUGGUAUCUAGUAUUGAUGAGCAUCUUCAUGAAUUAUCAGUUCCUAUUACAAACGAAAUCCAGCAAGUUAAGAAUUAUAAAAUCUGUUGACGUUAUUAGUGGAAGAUACUAGUUCAUCAUUUCAUAGAUCUGAGGAUUUUACCCUUUUAUUGGUUGAGACUGCCAUUGCUAUGACAACUUGUGUUGCCUCCUCAGUUGUGUACAUCAUUAGUUGAAGGAUUUGGUCUAUCUGAUACAACUCCAACAAAGUAGCUAUA